rnacentral:rRNA from 1 species
GCCAGCAGUCAUACUACCUGCAAUGCAGAUUAGGUAAUCCCCUGCAGCUAUGCAGCUAUGCAGGUCUGAGCCUGAGCAGUACUUGGAUGGGAGACUAGAUAGGAAAGCUGGGUUGCUGCUGGCA